UCUCUCUCGCCGUCUCUCCCAAAUGGAGAGUUAAAGAUUUUUUUUUCUUUUUUGUCGACAAAGUCGAAGAGAUGAUAAGAGGAAGAGAAGAAGGCAAAGAAUUUUGUUCAAGCAUCGUGUAUAUGCUAAGAAUGGAAACCAAGUGAUUGGGAAGCUUACAAGAUUUUCAUGUUUUUGGGUUUUGUAGGAUUGACGUUUAUAUAUACGUAUGAUCGAUCAUUUGGUGAAGAAAAAACUUCAUAAUACUGCAAAGUUGUUUAUGAUUGAAGGAAAGGUUUCCCCUGAUCGAGUUGGUAAUUAAAUGACUUUCGUGAUCACAGUACGAUGAAAUGAGGCACAAGUUCAAUCGAAUACAUUGCUGGAGGUGCUACCCAUAACUCUCAUUCAAACUGGUCCAGUGGAUGCUUCACUCUUUAGGCAACCAGUUACAUGGUAUCCAUUGGAAAGGACAAAUAGGGAGAGGCAAUGAAGGAUGCUACCGCAGCUGGUGUCAAUGUCCACUAUUUUGGAGAUGAGUCAAAACCUACCAGAACUUGCCGUGCCUGUGUUCUUGGUGGAGAAAGGUCGCUCAUUGCAAAUCUUUCUGCUGCAAGCUGCUACAAGGUUGAACACUUGCAUAUGCAUGAGUACUGGGCUCUAGUUGGGAAUGCUAAGUUCUACUACAUUGAUGGAUUCUUCGUCACAAUAUAUCACCAUAAUCCAUUCAGUUGGUAUGUGAACAUGCAGCUGCUAACAAGCUAAGAAGAUCCUUUAUGAGAACCAGACAUUUCAUAUUUUGUAAUGUCUUCUCUUUGAUCAGAUUUCAACACAUUUCUCUACUGUUUCUCCCUAACAGUAGCAAGAAUCAAGGUUUACUGACAUCUGAAAUAUCUAUCUGCUCUUAGUUAGUACAUGAUUUUUUCUAUUAAGAAAUUUUUUUAUUAAAGAAUCUAAGUUAUUGGAUAAGUUGAGGUUUGUUUAGUUUUUGCAACCAGAUGGAAUCUUAUAGAAUUGUCAGUUUGGUAGAAAACAUCCAUGUUGUUUCUUCUUACGUUCUUUGUUUUAAAUUUUGUGUACAAAAUCAAUUUGUGUGACAUGUUUUUGUUGGGUAUAUUGUAAUGUUCUCUGUUGAACAAAUCGACAAUGCACAUUUUUGGAUGAACUAAA